GUCUUGAAUAUUGCACUCUCAAAUUUGUUAUAUACUACUGUGCAUGGAACAGCUUUCCACUGAAAGGUUUUCCUUGUCAGGGUGUGUGUGGUUGUGUGCUGACCUAACCGUUCUCUGGUGGUGGAGGGAGCUCUCAGAAUAUAAAGUGAUGAGAAUGGAUAACAGUAAGCCUGACAGCACUGACUACCGUCUUCUCUGCAGCAUGUGAAUGCUAUGAAAUGUGCUGGUUCCAAUAUAUAACGCUUUUA